GCCCGUCUAGCUCAGUCGGUAGAGCGCAAGACUCCUAAUCUUGUGGUCGUGGGUGCGAGCCCCACCGUGGGCG
rfam:Phytophthora infestans T30-4 supercont1.21 genomic scaffold, whole genome shotgun sequence.